rnacentral:rRNA from 1 species
UGUGUAGGCGGUUGUUUAAGUUUGGUGUGAAAUCUCCCGGCUCAACUGGGAGGGUGCGCCGAAUACUGAAUGACUCGAGUGCGGGAGAGGAGGGUGGAAUUCCUGGUGUAGCGGUGAAAUGCGUAGAUAUCAGGAGGAACACCGGUGGUGUAGACGGCUCUCUGGACCGUAACUGACGCUGAGACACGAAAGCGUGGGUAGCAAACA